AUUGAACGCUGGCGGCAUGCCUUACACAUGCAAGUCGAACGGCAUCGCGGGAAAGCUUGCUUUCCUGGCGGCGAGUGGCGAACGGGUGAGUAACACAUCGGAACGUACCGGCUAGUGGGGGAUAACCCGUCGAAAGACGGGCUAAUACCGCAUACGCUCUUCGGAGGAAAGCAGGGGACCUUUGGGCCUUGCGCUAGCCGAGCGGCCGAUGUCCGAUUAGCUAGUUGGUGGGGUAAAGGCCUACCAAGGCGACGAUCGGUAGCGGGUCUGAGAGGACGAUCCGCCACACUGGAACUGAGACACGGCCCAGACUCCUACGGGAGGCAGCAGUGGGGAAUCUUGGACAAUGGGGGCAACCCUGAUCCAGCAAUGCCGCGUGGGUGAAGAAGGCCUUCGGGUUGUAAAGCCCUUUCGGCAGGGAAGAAAUCGGCGGGGCGAAUAACCCUGCUGGAUGACGGUACCUGCAGGAGAAGCACCGGCUAACUACGUG
rnacentral:rRNA from 1 species